rnacentral:rRNA from 1 species
UACGUAGGGCGCGAGCGUUGUCCGGAAUUAUUGGGCGUAAAGAGCUCGUAGGCGGCCUGCUGCGUCCGCUGUGAAAUCCCGGGGCUCAACCCUGGGCGUGCAGUGGAUACGGGCAGGCUGGAGGCAGGCAGGGGAGAACGGAAUUCCGGGUGGUAGUGGUGAAAUGCGUAGAGAUCCGGAGGAACACCAGUGGCGAAGGCGACACGCUGGGCCAUACCUGACGCUAAAGCGCGACAGCAUGGGGAGCAAACGGG